rnacentral:rRNA from 1 species
AUUGAACGCUGGCGGCAGGCCUAACACAUGCAAGUCGAGCGAGCGGCGGCCGGGUGAGUAAUGCCUAGGAAUCUGCCUGGUAGUGGGGGAUAACGUCCGGUACUGGUAGCUAAUACCGCAUACUCUCAGCUGUGCCUAGGUGGGAUUAGCUUGUGGGUGGGGUAAGGGCUCACCUAGGCGACGAUCACUAGCUGGUCUGAGGGGAUGACCAGCCACACGGGAACUGAGACACGGUCCAGACUCCUACGGGAGGCAGCAGUGGGGAAUAUUGCACAAUGGGCGCAAGCCUGAUGCAGCCAUGCCGCGUGGGUGAAGAAGGCCUUCGGGUUGUAAAGCACUUUCAGCGGGGAGGCGUUACCCGCAGAAGAAGCACCGGCUAACUCCGUGCCAGCAGCCGCGGUAAUAC